UCUUAUUAUUAUAUAUAGGACAGCUUGACAAGCGUUUGGAACCUCGAUUUUGACUCAUUAUAUCCUGGGGUUGAAGAAGGACCCAAGGGUUCAGUUGUUCGCUGAUUCAAGUGGUACGUGAGUUGGGUUUAGAAUGUCGUGAGAUAGUUU
rnacentral:ncRNA from 1 species